GAUGAACGCUGGCGGCGUGCUUAACACAUGCAAGUCGAACGAUGAAGCCCAGCUUGCUGGGUGGAUUAGUGGCGAACGGGUGAGUAACACGUGAGUAACCUGCCCUUGACUCUGGGAUAAGCCUGGGAAACUGGGUCUAAUACUGGAUAUGACUUCUCAUCGCAUGGUGGGGGGUGGAAAGAUUUAUUGGUCUUGGAUGGACUUGCGGCCUAUCAGCUUGUUGGUGAGGUAAUGGCUCACCAAGGCGACGACGGGUAGCCGGCCUGAGAGGGUGACCGGCCACACUGGGACUGAGACACGGCCCAGACUCCUACGGGAGGCAGCAGUGGGGAAUAUUGCACAAUGGGCGCAAGCCUGAUGCAGCGACGCCGCGUGAGGGAUGACGGCCUUCGGGUUGUAAACCUCUUUCAGUAGGGAAGAAGCGAGAGUGACGGUACCUGCAGAAGAAGCGCCGGCUAACUACGUG
rnacentral:rRNA from 1 species